rnacentral:lncRNA from 1 species
CUGAGCUGUGCAGUGGAGCUGGGGAGACAUGCUCAGGAUUUCCUGAGGCAUGAAGAUGGACUUUAAAUAACAGCCAUGUGAUGGGCAAGAUCUUAUCUUGGGUUAGAGCUACCUGGCAACUGUGAAGUGGUGAUCUGCCCAGAAUCAGGAAUGCUUACCCACUGGAGGCAUUUCAGCCCUACAAAAAAAAAAAAAAAAAAAGAAAAUAAAAGAAAAGAGCAG